rnacentral:rRNA from 1 species
UACGGAGGAUCCGAGCGUUACCCGGAUUUAUUGGGCGUAAAGGGAGCGCAGGUGGUUUCUUAAGUCUGAUGUGAAAGCCCACGGCUCAACCGUGGAGGGUCAUUGGAAACUGGAAAACUUGAGUGCAGAAGAGGAAAGUGGAAUUCCAUGUGUAGCGGUGAAAUGCGCAGAGAUAUGGAGGAACACCAGUGGCGAAGGCGACUUUCUGGUCUGUAACUGACGCUGAUGUGCGAAAGCGUGGGGAUCAAACAGG